GUCCCAUAUGGUUCUUGAACACGAAAGAAAUUCUGAUUCUGUUUGCCUUAGUUUAUUCAAUGUAUAAUAAUAACCACGAAAGUCUUCUAUAAUGACUUUAGAAUAUAUAAAGCUGUUGUACAUAUCUAUGUGCAUCAGUACAUAUCUAUGUACAUCAUUGCCGAAUGUUUAUAAUGACAUUGCUAUAUCUAUUUAAGGAAUGACUG
rnacentral:lncRNA from 1 species